rnacentral:rRNA from 1 species
UACGUAGGGGGCAAGCGUUGUCCGGAUUUAUUGGGCGUAAAGAGCGUGUAGGCGGCUAGGUAGGUCCGUUGUGAAAACUCGAGGCUCAACCUCGAGACGCCGAUGGAAACCAUCUGGCUAGAGUCCGGAAGAGGAGAGUGGAAUUCCUGGUGUAGCGGUGAAAUGCGCAGAUAUCAGGAAGAACACCAACGGCGAAGGCAGCUCGCUGGGACGGUACUGACGCUGAGACGCGAAAGCGUGGGGAGCGAACAGG